rnacentral:lncRNA from 1 species
AUAUCCAUGAAUGACCAUGAAAGUACAGCAAGUGAUUUUCAAGCUGCAAACAAAUUUUAGCAAGUCUACCUUAAAUCAGUAAGGUCUGUGGCUGUCCAGAUGCACAUCAUAAUCGGCACAGAACUCUACCAUUUGGUCAAAACCAAAAACUAACUGGGACGCCUAAGACUGUAACAGACCCCUGGAGACUUCCCACUGGACUCCCCUGAGGCAGAUAUUUUGCAAAAGAAAACUUCCCGCCAUGAGAUCUUUUCCCACAUUCCCUCUUGGCAACUUAACCAGAAGAUAAGGUUAAGUUCAUUUCCACGGCCUUUAGAACCUCUGGACCUUAUACAUGAGAAAAGACAUCAUUCAUGGUUGGAGUCACUGGACCUGGUUAAUAUGUACCAAAAGGAAACAGAAAAAGCAGUUCUGGUGGCUACAUCUUGCAAGUACUAGACCAGAAUAUAAAGCUGGAUGAGAGAGACUUUGAUGAUAUGAAGUACUAGGGUUUAAAGGGAACACCGAACUCAGUGGAUUGCAAGAGCAUCUGACAUCAGCCCUACUGUGCUUUAGGCAUGGCUCUUGGAAAUAUGACAGACCACAGUACAUAGUGUGAAGUUUCUAGACCUGCCCUGAUACAGUGUUGUGGAACCAAUAUAAAGACUGAGUCACUGGACAAGCUAGAGUGACUGUGUACUUCAGGAUUAACAAAAACAUUAGUUUCACUAAGUUUAUAAAGAUUGAAAUUUUUACAGGCUUAACAGUGGCUGUUGUCUAUAGGCCAAGAAGGAUUAGCAAGUAAUGCUCUUAUGAAACAAAUGUUGAAGAUGAUAUACAAUUCUAGAAGAGCAAAGGAAAGGUGGUAGCAUGUAAUCAGUACAGAGAGAUAAGGACCAACAUAAUUUCCAUGCCAGUUAUCAGCAACUCAACAGCUGAGGAACUCUAUUAUGUAGGAAUCUAAGAUCAUGGAUGAGCUAUCAUCACAGUUUUUAGGGGAACUAUAGAAAGGCUUCCAAUAAGGAUUUUUGUACAUGUACAUAUAUAUUCAGAAAGCAGCUAAUGUGGAGAAGCAGAAGGUCGAUGUCAGCCACUCCAGUGGAAAUUUCAAUCACUCAUCUACUUUCCAAGCUUGAGCCAACUUUCAGACUGAGAGUCCAAUAAUUAAAGCAGAAGCUCUGUUUUUCUGAGAAAUGACCUGAUGGCAGAGCAAAUAUAUACUGUAAAGAU